CGUCUGACGUGUAUGUGAAGUAGAGGGUCUGCAUAUCCAGACCUUCAUGAAGGUUUAUAUCAGAUAAUUUGAGAUUUGAUCUCUGGUUCCACUGCGAUUCAUAUAAAGAUUUGAUCCAUAAACAAGUAGAACAUUAGAGAAAAUGCAACCUAGGCAUUCUGAAGGAAAACUGUUCCUUUUCCUUCACAUGGUGGUCAGCUUCUUCUUAUACAAGAGAGCAUCGAUCAACUCAUGUUGGAUGAGUACAUCCUUCACCCUCACUUGCCAUAAGGAGAAAUUGCUCUUUCCAUCGAAUCAAUUGAUCUCUACCUUGAUUGUACUUCUCUUCUCCAUCUCCAAUCUCGAUCAAUACCACCUCUGUCUGGAUCAUCUGGUACAACUUAUCCAUGAUAAUCAGACUCUGAUACCAAUUAUUGUGCUCUAAUACCACUUAUUGAAGGAGGAAGAAAGAAGAAAAAGAGAAAAAAAUACCAUAAAUAAAUUAAGAUAAUGUGGAUUGGCCUCAAACCUACCUCCAUGAGGCAUGCAAGCUUCACUACAAGAGAAAGAAAAUCAAACAAAUACAAGAUGAACUCACCACUCAACCUUUGUAUAAAAAUCUCUCAAUAAGAAGCUCCAAAAUCCUCACAAAAACUCUCUGAAACCUCUCUUGAAGCCUCUCUG
rnacentral:lncRNA from 1 species